rnacentral:rRNA from 1 species
CAGUAGCCGCGGGAAUACGAAGGGUGCAAGCGUUGAUCGGAAUUACUGGGCGUAAAGGGCGCGUAGGCGGCCAUUCAAGUUAGAUGUGAAAGCCCUGGGCUCAACCUAGGAAUUGCAUUUGAUACUGUUUGGCUUGAGUUCGGGAGAGGUGAGUGGAAUUCCCAGUGUAGAGGUGAAAUUCGUAGAUAUUGGGAAGAACACCAGUGGCGAAGGCGGCUCACUGGACCGACACUGACGCUGAGGCGCGAAAGCGUGGGGAGUAAACAGGAUUAGAUACCCGUGUAGUCCCUGUCUCUUAUAC